rnacentral:lncRNA from 1 species
UAUAUAAAGAUGCUUUGUCUUUGAUGACAAGUUGGGAAUUAAGAAUAAAUUCUUUGCUUUUUAAAGAAAAAUAUAUUAUUGAGCCAAUUUGGAUAAGGACAGGGAAGCAUCAAUUCGUUUCAGAUUUGACGCGUAUCGGGUUUUAAAGAGCAAAGUGGGCUUCCUUUGGUCUACGUGGGUUUGGAACCUGUCUUUUGCUUCGGCCCAAAUCAAUUCCCAACGCACGUAGUCUUCUGGGUCGCACUAUACAACUUAAUUUGCAUAUUAAUUCUCAUCAUUAAGAUAGUGAU